ACUGCUGCAGCUCAACAAAGCAUGGCAUUGAAAAUGCCAAGAUACGGCCUAACCCUCCUUCAGCAAUA
rnacentral:tRNA from 1 species